UCAGGAUGAACGCUGGCGGCGUGCUUAAUACAUGCAAGUCGAACGAAGCACUUACAGCCGAUCCCUUCGGGGUGAAGCAGUUUGUGACUUAGUGGCGGACGGGUGAGUAACGCGUGGGUAACCUGCCUUAUGCAGGGGGAUAACAGUUAGAAAUGACUGCUAAUACCGCAUAAGCGCACGGCACCGCAUGGUGCAGUGUGAAAAGAUUUAUCGGCAUAAGAUGGACCCGCGUCUGAUUAGGUAGUUGGUGAGGUAACGGCCCACCAAGCCUGCGAUCAGUAGCCGACUUGAGAGAGUGAUCGGCCACAUUGGGACUGAGACACGGCCCAGACUCCUACGGGAGGCAGCAGUAGGGAAUAUUGCACAAUGGGGGAAACCCUGAUGCAAGCGACGCCGCGUGAGUGAUGAAGUAUUUCGGUACGUAAAGCUCUAUCAGCAGGGAAGAUAAUGACGGUACCUGACUAAGAAGCCCCGGCUAACUACGUGCCAGCCGCUGC
rnacentral:rRNA from 1 species